UACGUAGGUGACAAGCGUUGUCCGGAUUUAUUGGGCGUAAAGAGCGCGUAGGCGGUCCGGUAAGUCGGUUGUGAAAGUCGGGGGCUCAACCCUCGGAUGCCGAUCGAUACUGUCGGGCUAGAGUCCGGAAGAGGCGAGUGGAAUUCCUGGUGUAGCGGUGAAAUGCGCAGAUAUCAGGAAGAACACCCGUGGCGAAAGCGGCUCUCUGGAACGGUACUGACGCUGAGACGCGAAAGCGUGGGGAGCGAACAGG
rnacentral:rRNA from 1 species